rnacentral:lncRNA from 1 species
AAAGCAUCAUCCGUAGUAAGUAUAAUGAUCACUACUGCUAUUUCUAGUUAUAGAAUAUCUUUUUUUUCAGAGUUAAUGUCCUGAUUCAGUAAGAAAUGACCAGAGAACUCCAAAACAAUUUGAGGCAUAGAAUUGUAAUAUUCAACAGGUUAGUAAAAUGUAAAAGCUGCAUGAAAGUUUAUAGAUUUUAAAAACCAAAUUAAUUAAGUAAUCCAAAAAUCUACUUGUUCUCCAUGUCCCUUUAUUUAGGUACUAUGAAGAUAGGUUAUGAGAGAGAGAGAGAGAGACAAAGAAAAAGUUUGAGAAAAUAAUCAUGUGUUUGCAUACCUAAUUUUGGAAUUCAGGGGUCUCAGCCAAGAACUCACAAAGGUAGUGGAAAAAUUAUUUUUCUCCUCUCAAGGGAAAAUCCACAAAGGUGGGCAGAGAACCAGAGACAAGUUUGCCUUGAGGUAAGUUACAAAAUCUGCUUUACCCUUUGGUUUUCUUUGCUUUAUAGACUUCUGGGAAUAAAGAGCAAGUCCCCAAACCAGAAGAAGAUCAAAUAAGAG